CAGUCGCCGCGGGAAUACGGAGGGUGCAAGCGUUAAUCGGAAUUACUGGGCGUAAAGCGCACGCAGGCGGUCUGACAAGUCAGAUGUGAAAUCCCCGGGCUUAACCUGGGAACUGCGUUUGAAACUGUCAGGCUGGAGUCUUGUAGAGGGGGGUGGAAUUCCAGGUGUAGCGGUGAAAUGCGUAGAGAUCUGGAGGAAUACCGGUGGCGAAGGCGGCCCCCUGGACAAAGACUGACGCUCAGGUGCGAAAGCGUGGGGAGCAAACAGGAUUAGAUACCCGCAGUAGUCCCUGUCUCUUAUU
rnacentral:rRNA from 1 species